UACGAAGGGGGCUAGCGUUGUUCGGAAUUACUGGGCGUAAAGGGCGCGUAGGCGGACAGUUUAGUCAGAGGUGAAAGCCCAGGGCUCAACCUUGGAAUAGCCUUUGAUACUGACUGUCUUGAGUUCGGGAGAGGUGAGUGGAAUGCCGAGUGUAGAGGUGAAAUUCGUAGAUAUUCGGCGGAACACCAGUGGCGAAGGCGACUCACUGGCCCGAUACUGACGCUGAGGCGCGAAAAGCGUGGGGAGCAAACAGG
rnacentral:rRNA from 1 species